AUUGAACGCUGGCGGCAUGCUUUACACAUGCAAGUCGAACGGUAACAGGGAGCUUGCUCCGCUGACGAGUGGCGAACGGGUGAGUAAUAUAUCGGAACGUACCCAAGAGUGGGGGAUAACGUAGCGAAAGUUACGCUAAUACCGCAUACGAUCUAUGGAUGAAAGCAGGGGACCUUCGGGCCUUGUGCUCCUGGAGCGGCCGAUAUCUGAUUAGCUAGUUGGUGAGGUAAAGGCUCACCAAGGCGACGAUCAGUAGCUGGUCUGAAAGGACGACCAGCAACCCUGGAACUGAGACACGGUCCAGACUCCUACGGGACGCAGUAGUGGGGAAUUUUGGACAAUGGGCGCAAGCCUGAGCCAGCAAUGCCGCGUGAGUGAAGAAGGCCUUCGGGUUGUAAAGCUCUUUUGUCAGGGAAGAAACGGUAGAGGCUAAUAUCCUUUGCUAAUGACGGUACCUGAAGAAUAAGCACCGGCUAACUACGUGCCAGCAGCCGCCGUAACAC
rnacentral:rRNA from 1 species